UACAGAGGGGGCAAGCGUUAUUCGGAAUUAUUGGGCGUAAAGGGCGCGUAGGCGGCCUGACAAGUGGAAGGUGAAAUCCCUCGGCUCAACUGAGGAACUGCCCUCCAAACUGUUUGGCUUGAGACCGGGAGAGGUGAGUGGAAUUCCCAGUGUAGCGGUGAAAUGCGUAGAUAUUGGGAGGAACACCAGUGGCGAAGGCGGCUCACUGGACCGGAACUGACGCUGAGGCGCGAAAGCGUGGGUAGCAAACAGG
rnacentral:rRNA from 1 species